AUCAGUCCCCUGUUAAAAAUUUACGCAGCGAUAGAAGAUGGCUCCUAUGUCCUCCAACUGCACUCAUAAACCCAAUAUAAAUUUGAAUCGAGGUCACGAUACCUUUGGAUGCGAGCCAGUUCAAAGCUCUAUCGCACGGAAUUAAACAAGCCAUUGGGGAAAGCUAGUGUUUCGUGCCUAACAAGCCCCGAUAACUUUGGCGAGGCAAACCCAACCAGUUAUG
rnacentral:sRNA from 1 species